rnacentral:lncRNA from 1 species
UGCUAGGCAAACGCUCUACCACUGAGCUACAACCCCAGUCCUCCCUAUGCAUUUUGAUAUUUUGUAUUUUACAUUUUUUCUUCAAUCUGCAACUUGAUUUCAAAAAUCACAAGUUGAAACGCAUUGAGUUAGUCCAUUCUUCCCCAUUCUCAAUGUAAUUUGCAGAAAGUUGUCAUAAACCUUUAUAUUACAUAAUCUGUUAGGAAGAGGUGUGGAUUGCCCCAAGACAGAACUGCUUAUUUCAUUUUUCCUUACUUCCCCCAACAGGAAGACAGAGAGAGAAUAUUUAUUGUAGUUGGUUAGUUGGUUGGUUGGUUUUGUUACUGGGGAUAGAACCCAGCAGCACUUACCAUUGAACUAUAUCUCCAGCCUUUUUAUUUUCAUUUUAUUUUAAGAAAGGUUCUUAGUAAGUUGUUGAGGCUGGCCUUGAAUUUACAAUCCUCUUGCCUCAGCCUCCUGAGUCCACUAGGACUAAUGUGUGCAUCACCAUGCCCAGCUGUAGUAAUUUUUUAAUACUAAAAAUUUAUAAACAACGUAAGUAAUAGGGAAGGGGAUAAAUACACUUUAGUCAUACAAAUAAAUACACUUUUAGUCAUAUACAGUUGAAUACUGCAAAGUUAAAAUGAAUAAACUUGGUAAAAAAUUUUCAAAAUAAAAAACUUUAAAAAUAGUAAUGCUUAAUGGAAAAGCAAGUUGUAAGAUGACAGGCACAGUAGAAUAUCAUUAAGAUACAUUAAAAUACAUACAAUUAUGAUGGAUACAUGCAUACCUACAUGAUUUGAAUAACAACUUUAGAUAGAUAGAGC